AAUGCGCAGAUAUCAGGGGAACACCGAUGCGAAGGCAGGUCUCUGGGCCAUAACUGACACUGAGAAGCGAAAGCAUGGGGAGCGAACAGGAUUAGAUACCCUGGUAGUCCAUGCCGCAGCUAACGCAUUAAGCGCCCCGCCUGGGGAGUACGGCCGCAAGGCUAAAACUCAAAGAAUACGCCCGCACAAGCGGCGGAGCAUGCGGAUUAAUUCGAUGCAACGCGAAGAACCUUACCAAGGCUUGACAUACACGGAAAAGAUGCCCAGGUGGUGCAUGGUUGUCGUCAGCUCGUGUCGUGAGAUGUUGGGUUAAGUCCCGCAACGAGCGCAACCCUCGUUCUAUGUUGCCAGGACGGGGACUCAUAGGAGACUGCCGGGGUCAACUCGGAGGAAGGUGGGGAUGACGUCAAAUCAUCAUGCCCCUUAUGUCUUGGGCUUCACGCAUGCUACAAUGGCCGGU
rnacentral:rRNA from 1 species